rnacentral:rRNA from 1 species
CCUACGGGGGACAGCAGUGAGGAAUAUUGGUCAAUGGACGAGAGUCUGAACCAGCCAAGUAGCGUGAAGGAUGACUGCCCUAUGGGUUGUAAACUUCUUUUAUAUGGGAAUAAAAUGUUCCACGUGUGGGAUUUUGUAUGUACCAUAUGAAUAAGGAUCGGCUAACUCCGUGCCAGCAGCCGCGGUAAUACGGAGGAACCGAGCGUUAUCCGGAUUUAUUGGGUUUAAAGGGAGCAUAGGUGGAUUGUUAAGUCAGUUGUGAAAGUUUGCGGCUCAACCGUAAAAUUGCAGUUGAAACUGGCAGUCUUGAGUACAGUAGAGGUGGGCGGAAUUCGUGGUGUAGCGGUGAAAUGCUUAGAUAUCACGAAGAACUCCGAUUGCGAAGGCAGUUCACUGGACUGCAACUGACACUGAGGCUCGAAAGUGUGGGUAUCAAACAGGAUUAGAUACCCGAGUAGUC